rnacentral:tRNA from 1 species
GCUCAGUCAGUUAAGCAUCUGACUCUUGAUUUCGGAUCAGGUCAUGAUCUCAUGGUUCGUGGGUUCAAGCCCUACACUGGGCU